AGAGUUUGCUUCUGGCUCAGGACGAACGCUGGCGGCGUGCCUAAUACAUGCAAGUCGAGCGAGCUUGCCUAGAUGAUUUUAGUGCUUGCACUAAAUGAAACUAGAUACAAGCGAGCGGCGGACGGGUGAGUAACACGUGGGUAACCUGCCCAAGAGACUGGGAUAACACCUGGAAACAGAUGCUAAUACCGGAUAACAACACUAGACGCAUGUCUAGAGUUUGAAAGAUGGUUCUGCUAUCACUCUUGGAUGGACCUGCGGUGCAUUAGCUAGUUGGUAAGGUAACGGCUUACCAAGGCAAUGAUGCAUAGCCGAGUUGAGAGACUGAUCGGCCACAUUGGGACUGAGACACGGCCCAAACUCCUACGGGAGGCAGCAGUAGGGAAUCUUCCACAAUGGACGAAAGUCUGAUGGAGCAACGCCGCGUGAGUGAAGAAGGGUUUCGGCUCGUAAAGCUCUGUUGGUAGUGAAGAAAGAUAGAGGUAGUAACUGGCCUUUAUUUGACGGUAAUUACUUAGAAAGUCACGGCUAACUACGUGCCAGCAGCCGCGGUAAUACGUAGGUGGCAAGCGUUGUCCGGAUUUAUUGGGCGUAAAGCGAGUGCAGGCGGUUCAAUAAGUCUGAUGUGAAAGCCUUCGGCUCAACCGGAGAAUUGCAUCAGAAACUGUUGAACUUGAGUGCAGAAGAGGACAGUGGAACUCCAUGUGUAGCGGUGGAAUGCGUAGAUAUAUGGAAGAACACCAGUGGCGAAGGCGGCUGUCUGGUCUGCAACUGACGCUGAGGCUCGAAAGCAUGGGUAGCGAACAGGAUUAGAUACCCUGGUAGUCCAUGCCGUAAACGAUGA
rnacentral:rRNA from 1 species